rnacentral:rRNA from 1 species
GCGAGGCCGAAAGGCGUAGUCGAUGGGAAACAGGUUAAUAUUCCUGUACUUGGUGUUACUGCGAAGGGGGGACGGAGAAGGCUAUGUUAGCCGGGCGACGGUUGUCCCGGUUUAAGCAUGUAGGCUGAUUAUCCAGGCAAAUCCGGAUAAUCAAGGCUGAGGUGUGAUGACGAGGCACUACGGUGCUGAAGUAACAAAUGCCCUGCUUCCAGGAAAAGCCUCUAAGCAUCAGGUAACAUCAAAUCGUACCCCAAACCG